rnacentral:rRNA from 1 species
CCUACGGGAGGCAGCAGUGAGGAAUAUUGGUCAAUGGCCGGAAGGCUGCACCAGCCAAGCCGCGUGAAGGACGAAGGUGCCAAGCAUUGUACACUUCUUUUGUCAAGGGACAAAAUCAGGCUCGAGAGCCUGACCGCGGGUACUUGAAGAACAAGCAUCGGCUAACUCCGUGCCAGCAGCCGCGGUACUACGGAGGAUGCGAGCGUUAUCCGGAUUUAUUGGGUUUAAAGGGUGCGUAGGCGGGCUGUUAAGUCAGCGGUAAAAGCCCGGGGCUCAACCCCGGCGAGCCGUUGAAACUGGCUGUCUUGAGAUGUCGAGAGGUAUGCGGAAUGCGCAGGGUAGCGGUGAAAUGCUUAGAUAUUGCGCAGAACUCCGAUUGCGAAGGCAGCAUACCGGCGGCGAUCUGACGCUGAGGCACGAAAGCGUGGGUAUCGAACAGGAUUAGAUACCCUAGUAGUC